rnacentral:rRNA from 1 species
UCUUGGUCAUUUAGAGGAAGUAAAAGUCGUAACAAGGUUUCCGUAGGUGAACCUGCGGAAGGAUCAUUACCUGAAUAUGGGCUUCGGCCCUCAUUCUACCCUUGUGUAUCUUACCUUUGUUGUUCCCUCGGCGGGUCUCCCGCCGAUGGGUACCCACAAACCCUUUUGCAUUUAGCAUCAAAAUUCUGAUAAAACAUAAAUAAUCACAACUUUCAACAAUGGAUCUCUUGGUUCUGGCAUCGAUGAAGAACGCAGCGAAAUGCGAUAAGUAGUGUGAAUUGCAGAAUUCAGUGAAUCAUCGAAUCUUUGAACGCACAUUGCGCCCCUCGGUAUUCCGUGGGGCAUGCCUGUUCGAGCGUCAUUUACACCCUCAAGCUCUGCUUGGUGUUGGGCGUCUGUCCCGCUUCGUGCGUGGACUCGCCCCAAAGUCAUUGGCGGCGAUCGUGCCAGCUUCUCGCGCAGCAUACGCGCUCCGGAGGCAAGUCGAUCAGCAUCCACAAAGUACUUUCCACAGUUUGACCUCGGAUCAGGUAGGGAUACCCGCUGAACUUAAGCAUAUCAAUA